CCUGAAGAUCACUGACAUCAUGAUUUGAUAGAAUUCAAUGCAAUUCAACGUCGGGUUUCCAGGCAAUGAUGUGACUAGCAGCUACCGUUAGUGCUUUGGUAAACGAUUUCAAGUUAUGAAUGCUAUGUAACUUGCAAGUUAAUAACCUGUAACUAGCUAGAUUAAUAAGAACCUUUGAUAGUGCUGUUUUUUUUUUACGUGUCAAUAUAUUUAAUCCUACCUAACCAGCCUGCAUUGUUGGUUGUUAUGGGGGUCUGAUGAUCCUUGUUUCCUGAAGACAGAGGGCAGCGACCCUCUCCAAAGCUUCCUGAAGGGGUGUGAAGGGCGGAAACUCAACAGCAAGGAAUCACAAUCAAAAUAUCCAGAAAAAGUAUAAAGACAUUGUUCACAAUAAGUAAAAAGCCCUCCACUUCACAGACAUAGGUGUAUUGGGGGUGAAACUCAGCUGACUUCUGUGCAUUCUGUGUGCAUGCUUAUUCAGUUGUGUUCACAUCAGCAAGGAGGACACAGUAGCAGAGUAUGGCAUGCUGGAAGGUGACUAUACCCAGAAUAGCUCUUCUGCACCACCAAAGUCCUGGCAAAUGCUGGAAGGUAAAUAUCUCUGGAGAGCACUUCUGGCUGGGUGCCCCUCCUGGCUUUGAUUUAUGAGUACACAUCUCCCCAGUCCCACUGAAGGCCUUACCUAUCCCUCUGGCCUCACUUCACAGCUCUGGAUCACCCCAUGUUCUGGUAAGGUCAAACACAUACAGUACAUAGACACAUCUUAUAUUCUUAGUUGAGUAGACUUAAAUACUCUGAUCGCUCUGUGAUUCCAGUUGCUGGUAUUUUGGCUGAGUUGUAUUUUGUGGAUGUGGUUUGUAGGUCAAAGGAUGAGAGGGAUAGACUCUCGAAGUGGACUGGGAUCCCAGAGGCGGUGGCCAUUGACCUCACCAACAUCCAGAAAGAGUACAAAGACAUUGUCCUACCUUUCAUCACCUUACACCAUAACCUGUGGGACCCAGAGAGACACACACUUUACCUCUACAGAAGCAUGGUGGCUUUUGUCAUGGCUUACAGGUCGUCAGGCUGCUGAUUAUCCUGCACACCUGUCACCAUCGUCUUGCGCGCCAGCGCCUCAUGACACUCACCUGGACUCCAUCACCUCCUUGAUUAUCUUCCCUAUAUCUGUCACUCCCCUUGGUUCUUGAUUCUGUUUUCAUGUUGGUGCGUUGUCUGUGUUUCGUGGUCAUUGUUUAUUUUAUUUAUUAAAACACUC